GACUAACGCUAACGGUGUGCUUAAUACAUGCAAGUCGAACGAGCAAUGUGAGAGUGGCAACACUCCUGCGAAGCUAGUGGCGAACGGGUGAGUAACGCGUAGGUAAUCUACCUUGAAGAUUAGGAUAACCUUCCGAAAGGAAGGCUAAUACUAAAUAUUUUAUGUUUUUCGUAUGAUUAAUAUAACAAAGGUAGCCGCAAGGCCUCCGCUUUAAGAUGAACCUGCGUCCUAUUAGCUUGUUGGUAAGGUAAUGGCUUACCAAGGCUAUGAUGGGUAGCCGGCCUGAGAGGGUGAUCGGCCACACUGGGACUGAGAUACGGCCCAGACUCCUACGGGAGGCAGCAGUAGGGAAUAUUGCGCAAUGGGCGAAAGCCUGACGCAGCGACACCGUGUGAAGGAUGAAGGUCUUCGGAUCGUAAACUUCUGUCAAUCGGGGACGAAGGUAAUAAGGUUAAUAGCCUUUAUUAUUGACGGUACCCAAUAAGGAAGUCUCGGCUAACUCCGUGCCAGCAGCCGCGGUAAGACGGAGGAGGCAAGCGUUGUCCGGAAUCAUUGGGCGUAAAGAGCGCGUAGGCGGUUUUUCAAGUCGUAUGUGAAAACUUCAGGCUUAACCUGAUGAUUGCAUAUGAAACUGGAUAACUUGAGUACAGCAGAGGAAAGUGGAAUUCCUGGUGUAGCGGUGAAAUGUGCAGAUAUCAGGAAGAACACCGGUAGCGAAGGCGGCUUUCUGGGCUGUUACUGACGCUGAGGCGCGAAAGCUAGGGGAGCAAACAGGAUUAGAUACCCUGGUAGUCCUAGCCGUAAACGAUGGACACUAGGUGUGGGAAGUUAUCGACGCUUUCUGUGCCGAAGCUAACGCAUUAAGUGUCCCGCCUGGGGAGUACGGCCGCAAGGCUGAAACUCAAAGGAAUUGACGG
rnacentral:rRNA from 1 species